CUAAGGCUGAUGGCGACCGGCGCACGGGUGAGUAACACGUAUCCAACCUGCCGAUGACUCGGGGAUAGCCUUUCGAAAGAAAGAUUAAUACCCGAUGGCGAUAGUUCUUCCGCAUGGUGGAACUAUUAAAGAAUUUCGGUCAUCGAUGGGAUGCGUUCCAUUAGGUUGUUGGCGGGUAACGGCCCACCAAGCCUUCGAUGGAUAGGGGUUCUGAGAGGAAGGUCCCCCACAUUGGAACUGAGACACGGUCCAAACUCCUACGGGAGGCAGCAUG
rnacentral:rRNA from 1 species